CUGGGAUCAUGACCUGAGCCGAAGGCAGACCUUAACGACUGAGCCACCCAGGUGCCCUGGAGCACAAUUUUGAUUUCAGUUAACUCUGUGUCUCCCAGAUUGCAAACCCUAAGACCCCCAGUAAACAUACCAAUUUUAUUUUGCAGAUUGCAGUUCUGCCUUUCAGUUAUUACAUGGCGUCAGGAGUGACCAGUUACCAUCUCCAGCAUCAUUGUGGAUUUGAAUCUGUGAAAUAGGAGGAUCUGAAAUGAGGAUGCCCUUUAUCAACUAAUGAAACAAAGAAGCUUGCUAAAGAAAUUAAAUUGUAAGCUAAAGGAAGACUCUAUAAAGGAAAUUAUGAAGAGAUUUCUAUUUAUAAUACCAUAAAAAAAUACUAAUGAAUAAACCUAACCAAAGAGGUAAAAAAGUUGAAUACUUAAAACUACAAAAUAUUGAUGAAAAACAGUAAAGAAUACACAAAUGUAUGGAAAGACAUACUGUGGGAUAAGAUGUCAGCAGUACCCAAGGCUAUCUUCAGAUUCAGUGCAAUCCCCAUUAAAAUACCAUGAUGUGUUUUUGCAGAAAUAGAAAUCAUCCUAAAAUUCAUAAAGGAAUUUCAAGGGACCACCGAAGACUCAAAACAAUCUUGAAAAAGAACAAAGGUGGAGGAUUCACAGACCCUGAUUUCAAAAUUUGCUAGAAAAUUGUUACACAAUAAUCAAAACAGCAUGGAACUGCCAUGAAGACAGAUAUAUAGA